rnacentral:rRNA from 1 species
GAGAGUUAAAUAGUACGUGAAAUUGUUGAAAGGGAAACGAUUGAAGUCAGUCAUGCUAGUGAAAAAUCAGUUUGACGGGUUUUGAGUUCGGGAGUAGAGGCAGGGUCAAACCGUUUCUCUUUUGAACUUGGGAUUUGUUAGAUGUACUUUUUCUUUGGCAGGUCAGCGUCGAUUUCGGAGGUUGUAAAAUACUUGGGGGAAAGUAACUCUGCUUCGGGAGAGCAUUAUAGACCCUGGGGGAUGCAGCCUGCGGGAUCGAGGAUUGCAGCAAAUGCCUUUGGCUUGUCGCCUGAUCUCUGGAUGUUACCUCGCUUGUGACAACAUUCUUGCCACCUGUGGGUACUAAUGCCCAUUAGGUUAGAGCGAUCAAAAAUUUUGCUAAGGAUGCUGACGUAAUGGCUUUAAACGA